UUUAUCCAUGAGGAUUUCCCUUGAUAUAUCCGAGUCUUUAUUAAUCGUUCAACCAGUAAAACGUCGAACGCUGCGACGUCAAUUGUGGCCGCUAGCGGCGGCGAAGCAGGGCAUCGCUUGCACAGAGAGGGGACAGGAAACGGUUGACUUUGGAGGGAUCGAGAAUUGCUGGUCACACACGGCGUCUCGAGGUCACAUUCAACUCAUUAGUGGCAGUCCAGUUCUUCAGAUACUCCAUGGAGGGAGCUUCACGCUAACAAACAGCAUCGUGGAAAGCAAAGGCCAACGACAAGGAGGAAUAGAUCCAAAGAGUUGCAGGACCUGAUAACUAGAUAUUAAAAUGAUUGAAAAUGAUUCGUCCAAUACAACUAUUACAACUGUGAAUGCAAAGUUAUUCCUGGCAACCAUUUCUGGAGAAAAAGGAUAAUUAGAUAUUAAAAUAGGUUUAUCUUUAGUAAACAAUGAUAAAUUAAGAAACUCUUGUCAUCAUUCUAAGAGCUUGAGAUGGAUGAGUCAGUUAAUUAGUGGUUGUAUUGUUGUUUCCUUUGAGAAUCAAUACCAUUAGUAUCUUUUAA